GGUGAGUAACACGUGAGUAACCUGCCCUUAACUCUGGGAUAAGCCUGGGAAACUGGGUCUAAUACCGGAUAUGACUCCUCAUCGCAUGGUGGGGGGUGGAAAGCUUUUUGUGGUUUUGGAUGGACUCGCGGCCUAUCAGCUUGUUGGUGAGGUAAUGGCUCACCAAGGCGACGACGGGUAGCCGGCCUGAGAGGGUGACCGGCCACACUGGGACUGAGACACGGCCCAGACUCCUACGGGAGGCAGCAGUGGGGAAUAUUGCACAAUGGGCGCAAGCCUGAUGCAGCGACGCCGCGUGAGGGAUGACGGCCUUCGGGUUGUAAACCUCUUUCAGUAGGGAAGAAGCGAAAGUGACGGUACCUGCAGAAGAAGCGCCGGCUAACUACGUGCCAGCAGCCGCGGUAAUACGUAGGGCGCAAGCGUUAUCCGGAAUUAUUGGGCGUAAAGAGCUCGUAGGCGGUUUGUCGCGUCUGCCGUGAAAGUCCGGGGCUCAACUCCGGAUCUGCGGUGGGUACGGGCAGACUAGAGUGAUGUAGGGGAGACUGGAAUUCCUGGUGUAGCGGUGAAAUGCGCAGAUAUCAGGAGGAACACCGAUGGCGAAGGCAGGUCUCUGGGCAUUAACUGACGCUGAGGAGCGAAAGCAUGGGGAGCGAACAGGAUUAGAUACCCUGGUAGUCCAUGCCGUAAACGUUGGGCACUAGGUGUGGGGGACAUUCCACGUUUUCCGCGCCG
rnacentral:rRNA from 1 species